rnacentral:rRNA from 1 species
CAGCAGCCGCGGUAAAACGGGGGGGGCAAGCGUUGUUCGGAUUUAUUGGGCGUAAAGGGUGCGUAGGCGGUUUGGCAAGUCUUGUGUGAAAUCUUCGGGCUCAACUCGAAGCCUGCACGAGAGACUACCGGGCUUGAGUAUUGGAGAGGUGAGUGGAAUUUCCGGUGUAGCGGUGAGAUGCGUAGAUAUCGGAAGGAACACCUGUGGCGAAAGCGGCUCACUGGACAAUAACUGACGCUGAUGCACGAAAGCUAGGGGAGCAAACAGGAUUAGAGACCCCGGUAGUCCCUGUCUCUUAUAC